GCCCUGGUAGUGCAGUGGUCAAGCAUUUGGCUGCUAACCAAAAAGUCGGUGGUUCAAACCCACUGGCU
rnacentral:tRNA from 1 species